AUGGAAAUAAUUAUAAUUCCAAUAAAAUAAAAUAAAAUAAACUGACAGUAGUCAAUUAAUAAAUAUUAAUUAUAUUUAUGAAUUAAUAAAUAAAAUACAUGUAUCUUUGAAUUUUAAAACCAUUAAGUUAAUUAUUGAUAGAGCAAAAGUAUUAUUAAAUUAAUACAAACUUUAUAAUAAUAAUAAUAAAAUAACGUUAGAAAAAAACUAAUGUACAGAUAUCUAAUCACGUAAAAUUGUAUUAAAAACGUUGUAAUUAAUCUGAUUAAAAAUAUGAAAGUUGAUAUAUAGACCGAUAUAUGACAUCGAUGACUGACGAGUUCAGCGUUCACUUAGAAUUUUUUCUCAGUAAGCUUUUUUAAUUUUAAAAGCAUUCGUUGUUUACAAAAAUUAAUAUAACAUGACAGUAUGACGUAUAGAAAAAUCGAUUAAUAAAUAUUAUUAAAAACUGAUUUCCAACCAUACAUAAUUUUAUCAGUUGGUUUUUAUUUUUCACUGUAUUAUAUUUUUAUCUAUUUUUAUUCUAUAUGUUAAAAAAACUAAACAUAUGGCAUACUUUAUCAAUUAUUGUUUUUAAAUAUUUUAUCAAACAAAUCGAUAUAAAGAAAUAAAGUUAUUAUUCUAAUGAUAUAUUAAAUGUUCACCAAAACUAUAAUUUACAAAGACAUGUCGUUUCAGUUACCAUCAGUUAAGGAUCCCAUGGUUACUAAUAAUAUUUCCUAUAAAGUAGCUAAGGAAAACCAUGAAAAGUAUUGUAAAAAUGUAUAAUACAUAUUAUUUUAAUUUCAUUUCUUUUUAUACAAUUUUUUUUGUAUGAAAAAAAGGAAAAUGCUGUUUUUUGUUUGUGUUUUAGUAUUUUUUAACAAUUCAUUUUAGAAAAUUAGCGUUAUAUAAACAACAUUUUUUGUACUAUGUUGUAUACUGUAUUUAUUUGAUUUUUAAUUUUUUUUGUUUUUAUACAAAAUACACUGAUGAAACAAUAAUAAAUAAUCAGAAAUUUCAGUUUAAUCACCAACAAUUAUUUUUAGAAUAGUUCUAAAUAUUACAUACAUUUAAUAAUUGUUACAAUGUUAUUAAGCUAAAAAAAAAAUGAAUAACCGUCAAAUAAAUUCAAGGGAUAUUACGCUUGAAGAACGCGAAAACCAAAUAUAAAAGUUAAGCCAAUACUUUAAGAUCCGGAAUUUCAAACCAUACAAAAUCAAUAAUGAACGGAGAAAUCAAUCAAUUAGAAAAUGUAUCACAACAUUUCAACAAUUUUGGGAGUUAAUGAAUUAAAUAUUGAAUGUUUUUAUAACUGUAAAAGCACUACAAGCAUAUAUAUAAAAUUAGAAGUGGAGACUCUACCUAGUCUAAAUUUCAUGUUGUGGAGCGAAAUUAAUAAAAAAAAAUAAGACGUAUAAGCGACAACAUAUAUCUACGAAAAAAGUACAACAAUACAGUUACAUUAUGCAUGUUGGGGCUAUUGUGUUCGUGUUGUAUAGGCAGAAGCUUCGGAACAUAGCGGGAAUGCGGUUUUCCACAGAGACAUCGAAAAUAAUGAUUAACUGUAUUAUAUAUGUAUACAUUUUACGAGUCCAUCAGAAUAAUAUAUUAUACUUCGCCACAAAUAGGAUUCGUCGUAAUUUACUACACCGAAAGGACUGUGGACUCGUAGAGCUUUAUAUUUAUUUUAAUAUGCAAUCGAUUUGUGCUAAUAAUAAUGAUUAUACGAAAAUAUAUAGAACGAAUUUUACAUAGGCAUAGGCAAUACAAAUAGAACAGAAGAUGGACGUCACACCUGUCGUAUUUAUAUUUUGUA